rnacentral:rRNA from 2 species
GGUGGGCCCGCGACCUAUCAGCUUGUCGGUGGGGUAACGGCCUACCGAGGCUCUGACGGGUAGCUGGUCUGAGAGGACGACCAGCCACACGGGGACUGAGACACGGCCCCGACUCCUACGGGAGGCAGCAGUAAGGAAUCUUCCGCAAUGGGCGAAAGCCUGACGGAGCGACGCCGCGUGUGGGAUGAAGUCUCUCGGGAUGUAAACCACUGUCGGAGGGGAAGAGAAUGGACGGUACCCUCCAAGAAAGCCCCGGCUAACUACGUGCCAGCAGCCGCGGUAAUACGUAGGGGGCAAGCGUUACUCGGAUUCACUGGGCGUAAAGCGCGUGUAGGCGGCUGGUCAAGCGUGAUGUGAAAUCUCCGGGCUCAACCCGGAAACUGCAUCGCGAACUGGCCUGGCUGGAGUGCAGGAGAGGGAUGUGGAAUUCCCGGUGUAGCGGUGAAAUGCGUAGAUAUCGGGAGG